AACAUUGGGUGCAGCAGGCCUCUGCAUGUGGAAUGUCUGUGAUCUCAUAUUCACCAGGUGAAGAAAAAAAAUUAAGGGUGUCACCUUGAUUUUGAAUCUGCAACUGCUGAAACCAAAGCUGACGUUCUGGGUGACUCUAGGCUUUCUGAAAACAACUUUAUAGGCCACUGCAGGAAGAGGAUACUACCACCUAUUGAAGAAUUUAGAAUUGAAAGUCUACCUUCGGGAGUCAUAAACUAGAAGCACAACCUAGUAAACCACAGUACUCUAAGUACUCCUUUUAAUCAGUCCCACUGAAGAGUCUGUUCUCCUGAGAAGAUGCAAAUACUAGUAAGGAAAAUGGAGCUUUCUCCUCCUGCUUCUUGACUGCCAAACUUAAUCUGCAUGAUCUCGUAGUACAGUGCCUUAAACAACUGCCUGAGACUCUUGACUAACCGAGUCUGCAGAACCACACAGCAUCCGGAAGCUUUACAGGAACCCACUCACCAGAAGAGAUCUUUUUCACACCACUGUAACACAGCACUUUUCUUCCUCUAGUUCAUCUCCAAUAUCUCCACAGGCAUUAUGGAAUGAAGACAGGAUCAUUUGUAGCUUCAGCUGUGGGAUUUUAUGGUAGCAUCACAAUGCUGAUAGCAAAGUAAAUCCAAACACAAUCAGGAAUAGCCACAAGAUCAUAUUUCACUGCCAGAUUUCUUUUUUUUUUCUCCUAGUAUUACUGUAUAUAGCAACAUGUAAUAAAUUCCACAGUCACACCUACAUGGAA